AUUGAACGCUGGCGGCAGGCCUAACACAUGCAAGUCGAGCGGAGCGGCGGACGGGUGAGUAAUGCCUAGGAAUCUGCCUGGUAGUGGGGGAUAACGUCAGGUAACGGGCGCUAAUACCACAUACUAUCAGCUUAGCCUAGGUCGGAUUAGCGUGUUGGUGGGGUAAUGGCCUAACAAGGCGACGAUACGUAACUGGUCCGAGAGGAUGAUCAGUCACACUGGAACUGAGACACGGUCCAGAGUCCUACGGGAGGCAGCAGUGGGGAAUAUUUGACAAUGGGCGAAAGCCUGAUGCAGCCAUGCCGCGUGUGGGAAGAAGGUCUUCGGAUUGUAAAGCACUUUAAGUUGGGAGGCGUUACCAACAGAAUAAGCACCGGCUAACUUCGUGCCAGCAGCCGCGGUAAUAC
rnacentral:rRNA from 1 species